rnacentral:rRNA from 1 species
UGGGGAAUUUUGGACAAUGGGGGAAACCCUGACGCAGCGACGCCGCGUGUGGGAUGAAGGUCUUCGGAUUGUAAACCACUGUCGCGAGGGACGAAGCUCUGACGGUACCUCGAAAGGAAGCACCGGCUAACUCUGUGCCAGCAGCCGCGGUAAUACGUAGGGUGCGAGCGUUAAUCGGAAUUACUGGGCGUAAAGCGUGCGCAGGCGGUCUUGUAAGACAGAUGUGAAAUCCCCGGGCUCAACCUGGGACCUGCAUUUGUGACUGCAAGGCUGGAGUGCGGCAGAGGGGGAUGGAAUUCCGCGUGUAGCAGUGAAAUGCGUAGAUAUGCGGAGGAACACCGAUGGCGAAGGCAGCCUCCUGGGAUAACACUGACGCUCAUGCACGAAAGCGUGGGGAGCAAACAGGAUUAGAUACCCUCGUAGUCCCUGAGCGGGCUGGCAAGGCGCAU